UGGGGAAUAUUGCGCAAUGGCCGAAAGGCUGACGCAGCGACGCCGCGUGGGGGAUGAAGCAUUUCGGUGUGUAAACCCCUGUUGCCCGGGACGAACAAGCGGUUUCGACCGCUCUGACGGUACCGGGUGAGGAAGCACCGGCUAACUCCGUGCCAGCAGCCGCGGUAAUACGGAGGGUGCGAGCGUUGUCCGGAAUCACUGGGCGUAAAGGGCGCGUAGGCGGUCUGCUAAGCGUGCGGUGAAAGCCCGGGGCUCAACCCCGGGUCUGCCGUGCGAACUGGUGGACUUGAGCACUGUAGAGGCGAGUGGAAUUCCGGGUGUAGCGGUGGAAUGCGUAGAGAUCCGGAAGAACACCGGUGGCGAAGGCGGCUCGCUGGGCAGUAGCUGACGCUGAGGCGCG
rnacentral:rRNA from 1 species